GAACGAGACCUUCGGGUCUAGUGGCGCACGGGUGCGUAACACGUGGGAAUCUGCCCUUGGGUUCGGAAUAACAGUGAGAAAUUACUGCUAAUACCGGAUGAUGUCUUCGGACCAAAGAUUUAUCGCCCAAGGAUGGGCCCGCGUAGGAUUAGGUAGUUGGUGGGGUAAAGGCCUACCAAGCCGACGAUCCUUAGCUGGUCUGAGAGGAUGAUCAGCCACACUGGGACUGAGACACGGCCCAGACUCCUACGGGAGGCAGCAGUGGGGAAUAUUGGACAAUGGGCGAAAGCCUGAUCCAGCAAUGCCGCGUGAGUGAUGAAGGCCUUAGGGUUGUAAAGCUCUUUUACCAGGGAUGAUAAUGACAGUACCUGGAGAAUAAGCUCCGGCUAACUCCGUGCCAGCAGCCGCGGUAAUACGGAGGGAGCUAGCGUUGUUCGGAAUUACUGGGCGUAAAGCGCGCGUAGGCGGUUUUUCAAGUCAGAGGUGAAAGCCCGGGGCUCAACCCCGGAACUGCCUUUGAAACUGGAUGACUAGAAUCUUGGAGAGGCGAGUGGAAUUCCGAGUGUAGAGGUGAAAUUCGUAGAUAUUCGGAAGAACACCAGUGGCGAAGGCGACUCGCUGGAC
rnacentral:rRNA from 1 species